UCGAGAGGCUUCCACAAUGGGGGAAACCCUGAUGGAGCGACGCCGCGUGGGUGAUGAAGGUCUUCGGAUCGUAAAGCCCUUUCAGCAGGGACGAAUACUUCGACGGAUAAUACCUGUCGAGGCCUGACGGUACCUGCAUAAGAAGCUCCGGCUAACUCCGUGCCAGCAGCCGCGGUAAGACGGAGGGAGCAAGCGUUGUUCGGAUUUACUGGGCGUAAAGGGCGUCUAGGCGGAUUGGUAAGUCAGGUGUGAAAUCCCCCGGGCUCAACCGGGGACCUGCACUUGAUACUGCCAGUCUUGAGUUCGGAAGAGGAAAGCGGAAUUCCUGGUGUAGCGGUGAAAUGCGUAGAUAUCAGGAAGAACACCGGUGGCGAAGGCGGCUUUCUGGUCCGUUACUGACGC
rnacentral:rRNA from 1 species